UGAGGAAUAUUGGUCAAUGGGCGAGAGCCUGAACCAGCCAAGUCGCGUGAAGGAAGACGGUUCAUAAGGAUUGUAAACUUCUUUUGUAGAGGGGUAAAGGUGCGUACGUGUACGCAUUUGCAAGUACUCUACGAAUAAGUAUCGGCUAACUCCGUGCCAGCAGCCGCGGUAAUACGGGGGAUACGAGCGUUAUCCGGAAUUAUUGGGUUUAAAGGGUGCGUAGGUGGCUAUUUAAGUCAGGGGUGAAAAGCAUGAGCUCAACUCAUGUCUUGCCUUUGAAACUGGACAGCUAGAGAAGAGACGAGGUAUGUGGAAUGUGUGGUGUAGAGGUGAAAUGCAUAGAUAUCACACAGAACUCCGAUUGCGCAGGCAGCGUACCAGACUUAUUCUGACACUGAAGCACGAAAGCGUGGGUAUCAAACAGG
rnacentral:rRNA from 1 species